UACGAAGGGGGCUAGCGUUGUUCGGAUUUACUGGGCGUAAAGCGCACGUAGGCGGCUCGUUAAGUCGGGGGUGAAAUCCUGGAGCUCAACUCCAGAACUGCCUUCGAUACUGGCGAUCUUGAGUCCGGAAGAGGUGAGUGGAACUCCUAGUGUAGAGGUGGAAUUCGUAGAUAUUAGGAAGAACACCAGUGGCGAAGGCGGCUCACUGGUCCGGUACUGACGCUGAGACGCGAAAGCGUGGGGAGCGAACAGG
rnacentral:rRNA from 1 species